rnacentral:misc_RNA from 1 species
AGAGAGAAAGCCGACUUCUAUUAAGAAUCCCCCCACAAUGCUAAGCCCCAAUUCAGAAAAAUCACAAAAGCACCCAUGGAUCGAGAAUUUAACGAUUUCAAAUUGAGAAAGCUAAAAUUUAGUAAAUUUAACAAGCCUGAAGCCUAACAAAACAUACUCUACCACCAUGCAGCACCUAUACAUACACCCAUUGGCUUUGAAUAUCUUCAAAUGUCAAACCCAUUGAUGAAAGCUGAAUUAAUUUAACAAAGCCUAAAAAAUUAUACCCCACUGAUGGAACAUGCAUUGGUUUUACAAAUACUCAAAAGUAAAUAUCUCCACAAUAUAUUCCAUUAACAUUUUAAAAGGCACAGGUUUUUUAGUCAAACUGCUAUACACAUAUCAGUGUAAUUAGAUUCCUGCUGAUUCUCAAAAUCAAACUGCUAAGUUUGCAUGCUAAAAUCUUUAAUAAUUCAUUACUUUAAAGUUUAACUUUGCUAGAUAUUGUUACCAAAAUCCAUAUAUAAUAUGCAUUAAUUUUUUGAAACUUCUGAAGCACGCCCUCAGCACUGAAUAAAGGACUAUACUUGGUAUUUAAUUAUUCAACAAAGAAAAAAGAAAUACAUACGAGUGCGCAGGUGGGGUAAUUAAACAACUAACCAAUAGUAGUAAUCCAGAUAGUGAACUGUAAAGAACAGGAAAUAAACGAAAUGGGUAAUCCUGGAGGAGAAAGUGCAAAAGACACCCUAAAGGCAAACUUCACAAUUAACUAACAGAAAUAUGUGAUGCACAUUUUGGUUCAACACAUGCAAGGAAGUAACAAAAUGUAUAAAACAUAAGUAAUGGAAUUCAGAUUCAACAAAAUUCUGAUUAACAGAAAAGAUAGACCAAACUCUAAAAAGGUUUCUUGAGCUGAAGUACAGGAAUCAACUCCAGGAGUUUCAGUAUAUCUACAUCCUUUCCCAGUAUGACAUUAAUUUAAUCAAGGAACAGAAAAACAUUUUGAAUGUCAAAAAAUGCCAAUAAAAAUGAAGAAGACAAACAAAAAUGAAAGAUAGAGACAUUGCCAAAAAUUAGAAAUGUAAAAGACGACAACAAAAGCAGGAGCAUACAAUGUGAGUAUUAGGUCAAUAUAAGCUCUCACCUUUUAGAAUGGACUGAUGUAACUACGGAACAAAAGAUAUAGAACUUUUCUAAGAAAAAGAAAAAAAGUUCAUUUCCAUGUAAAACAGAACCAUCACCGCAUGGCAUUGACCGCAACCACUAAACAAGCC